AGUAACACGUGGAUAAUCUACCCGACAGUCAGGGAUAACAUUUCGAAAGGAAUGCUAAUACCUGAUAAGCCUACGCCCUCUUCGGAGGAAGUAGGAAAAGGUGGGGACCUUCGGGCCUGCCGUUGUCGGAUGAGUCCGCGGCCCAUUAGCUAGUUGGUAGGGUAAUGGCCUACCAAGGCUACGAUGGGUAGCUGGUCUGAGAGGAUGAUCAGCCACACUGGAACUGAGACACGGUCCAG
rnacentral:rRNA from 1 species